rnacentral:lncRNA from 1 species
AGAGACGUAGGGGCUGUGUUGACCAGGCUGGUCUCGAACUCUUGGCCUCAAGCCAUCCUCCCACCUCAGCCUCCCAAAGUGCUGGGAUUACAGGCUUGAGCCACCACAUCCAGCCUACCUAAAAUAUUGAAUGCUGUUAAUAAAUCUCCUGAGGCCAGCAUAAGAAGUUGAUGGGCAAAACUAAUGCAGUAGGAGCUGAAAUUGACCGGGGUGUUCUUAUCCAACAGACAGCAGCAAAACUCUUUGUGUAUCUGCAUUCCUUUCAACAAAUGUGACUUCCUCAAUGGCAUCAUUCAUGAGCGUAACACAGAGCUCAGCAAUAACGUUUCUUCACUAACCCUACCAGGGUUUCAAUUGUGCAAUUUCACCAUUAGCAAAGCUUUUUGCUGAAAUCUGGCUUUUCAAAGGGAGAGUAUCCAGAAACAGAAGAUGCUGAUCUGGGAGACUCUUCCUAAUAGAACUGCUGCUUCAGUUUAACUUGGAAAAGCCCACACCCAGUUCCUAAUGACAAACAUCUGAACACCGGGUC